rnacentral:rRNA from 1 species
UGGCUAACUCCUACGGGAGGCAGCAGUGGGGAAUUUUGGCCAAUGGGGGCAACCCCGAUCCAGCAAUGCCGCGUGAGUGAAGAAGGCCUUCGGGUUGUAAAGCUCUUUUGUCAGGGAAGAAACGGUAGUAGCUAAUAUCUAUUACUAAUGCCGGUACCUAAAGAAUAAGCACCGGCUAACUACGUGCCAGCAGCCGCGGUAAUACGUAGGGUGCAAGUGUUAAUCGGAAUUACUGGGCGUAAAGCGUGCGCAGGCGGUUGUGUAAGUCAGAUGUGAAAUCCCCGGGCUCAACCUGGGAAUUGCAUUUAAGACUGGACGGCUAGAGUGUGUAAGAGAGGGGUAGAAUUCAACGUGUAGCAGUGAAAUGCGUAGAUAUGUGGAGGAAUACCGAUGGCGAAGGCAGCCCCCUGGGAUAACACUGACGCUCAUGCACGAAAGCGUGGGGAGCAAACAGGAUUAGAUACCCCGGUAGUCCAGCUGG